rnacentral:rRNA from 1 species
AAAAGCAAGUCAGGGCGCAUGGUGGAUGCCUUGGCUCACGGAGGCGAUGAAGGACGUGAUAAGCUGCGAUAAGCUCCGGUGAGGUGCAAAUAACCUUUGACCCGGAGAUUUCCGAAUGGGACAACCCAGCAGUCUGAAGGACUGUUAUCUCUGCUAAGCAGAGAGGCAAACCCGGGGAACUGAAACAUCUUAGUACCCGGAGGAAGAGAAAACAACAGUGAUUCCCCCAGUAGUGGCGAGCGACCGGGGACGAGCCCAAACCGGUGAUGUAGCAAUGCACCGCCGGGGUUGUAGGACCACGCCGUAGUAUCUCAAUCGCGAGUGGAACAUCCUGGAAAGAAUGUCCAUAGAGGGUGACAGACCCGUACACGAAGCGAGCGAGAGCUUAGUGGUAUCCUGAGUAACGCGGGACACGAGUAAUCCUGCGCGAAUCCGCCGGGCCCAUCCGGCAAGGCUAAAUACUCCCGUGAGACCGAUAGUGAACCAGUACCGUGAGGGAAAGGUGAAAAGCACCCCGAUGAGGGGAGUGAAAGAGAUCCUGAAACCAUGCGCCUACAAGCGGUCGGAGCAUGUCAAUCAUGUGACGGCGUGCCUUUUGCAUAAUGAACCUACGAGUUGCCGUCACUGGCGAGGUUAAUUGCAAUGAUGCAAGCAGCCGCAGUGAAAGCGAGCCUGAACAGGGCGCAUAGUCAGUGGAGGCAGACGCGAAACCGAGUGAUCUACACUUGUCCAGGAUGAAGUCCCGGUAACACGGGAUGGAGGUCCGCACCGAUAAGCGUUGAAAAGCUUCCGGAUGAGGCGAGUGUAGGAGUGAAAGGCCAAUCAAACUCGGAGAUAGCUCGUACUCCCCGAAAGGCAUUUAGGUGCCGCGUGGGGCGUUCUGCGUGAGAGGUAGAGCGACCGAUAGGAUGCGAGGGCUUCACCGCCUGUCAAGUCCUGACGAACUCCGAAUGCUCACGCACUGGAGCCCUGCAGUAAGGGGACGGGUGCUAAGGUCCGUUCCCGAGAGGAGAAGAAUCCAGACCGCCGUCUAAGGCCCCUGAGUUCCGUCUGAGUUAGUCUAACGAAGUCCCGUUGCUGUGACAGCCAGGAUGUUGGCUUGGAAGCAGCCAUUCAUUCAAAGAGUGCGUAACAGCUCACUGGUCGAGUGAUGGGGCGUGGAUAAUAAUCGGGUAUAAGACGGACGCCGAAGGCGCGGGAUAGUAAUAAUAAAAGUAUCGGUAGGGGAGCAUUCCACCGGCGUUGAAUGGGAGAGGACGACUUUCCCUGGAGCCUGUGGAAAAGCAAAUGUAGGUAUAAGUAACGAUAAGGAGGGUGAGAUUCCCUCCCGCCGUAAGACCAAGGUUUCCCGGGCAAUGUCAAUCAGCCCGGGGUAAGUCGGGUCCUAAGUCUCAGCCGAAUGGCGAGGGCGAUGGCUGACACGGUUAAGAUUCCGUGACUUCCUUUAGGAGCUACGUGGUGACGGAGGCGUGAAACUGCCGCGGGGCGACGGAAAUCCCCGUUGACAGGUGUAGGCGUUGAUUGCUGCAGGCAAAUCCACAGCAAGAGCCGACCCUUAAAGUAUGCCGGUCUCCUCGGAGACGGGCAAUAGCGCAGGUAAUCAUACUCCCGAGAAAAACCGCUACGCUUAAUCCUAUAGGAACCCGUACCGCAAACGGACACACGUGGUCGUGUAGAAUAUACUGAGGCGUUGAGAGAUUCAUGGUUAAGGAACUAGGCAAACUGACCCCGUAACUUCGGGAUAAGGGGUCCUCACUGUAUGGUGAGGCGCAGAGAAUAGGUCCAGGCAACUGUUUAACAAAAACACAGGGCUGUGCAAACUCGUAAGAUGACGUAUACAGCCUGACACCUGCCCGGUGCCGGAAGGUUAAGAGGAGAUGUCACCGCAAGGGAAGCAUUGAAUUGAAGCCCCGGUAAACGGCGGCCGUAACUAUAACGGUCCUAAGGUAGCGAAAUUCCUUGUCGGGUAAGUUC